AGCAGCCGCGGUAAUUCCAGCCCCAAUAGCGUAUAUUAAAGUUGUUGCAGUUAGAAAGCUCGUAGUUGAAUUUUGGAUUCUGCCAAUUGGUCCAUCUUUUAGAUGAGUACUGGUUGUGUGGGGUCUAUCCGCCUGGUGAUACGUAAUGUCCUUUAUUGGAUGUUGCGGGUAGUCAGGACCUUUACCUUGAAAAAUUAGAGUGUUUAAAGCAGGCUUAUGCCGGAAUACAUUAGCAUGGAAUAAUAGAAUAGGACGAAGUUGUUUUAUUUUGUUGGUUUCUAGGACAACCGUAAUGAUUAAUAGGGAUAGUUGGGGGCAUUAGUAUUCAAUUGUCAGAGGUGAAAUUCUUGGAUUUAUUGAAGACUAACUACUGCGAAAGCAUUUGCCAAGGAUGUUUUCAUUAAUCAAGAACGAAAGUUAGGGGAUCGAAGACGAUCAGAUACCGUCGUAGUCUUAACCAUAAACUAUGCCGACUAGGGAUCGGGCGAUGUUGUUUCCAUGACUCGCUCGGCACCUUAGU
rnacentral:misc_RNA from 1 species